rnacentral:misc_RNA from 1 species
AACGCAAAUUGCGCUUCCGGGAUAGGCCUGGAAGCACGUGUCUUUGAGCAUCGAUUCUACAAACUCUCGGCGGCGUGCUUUGUUCGCAAAGCAUGCGCAGUCGGAAUUUGGGUCCUCUCGCUCCGGCGAGUGACUUUAAGCAAAGCGAGUAGAACACAGACACAUGCUUGAACCUCUGGUUCAUAGCCUUGCUGUUGCUCACACCAAUUUAAACUGGUGCUGGCUGCUAGUGACGUGGAUAAUUUCGCCUCGGCGAAUCUUCCAAACGUGACUAGAGGGUUGGCUCAGGGCGUGCGUGACUGCUUGUGCGACAAACAGUGACUGACGUUCGACAGAACGUUUGCAUGCGUGCAGUGUGCAAACACCUACUCUUGAAUUAGAUCUCAAAUGAGACGAGAAAACCCGCUGAACUUAA